rnacentral:rRNA from 1 species
CCUACGGGGGGCUGCAGUGAGGAAUAUUGGUCAAUGGCCGCAGGGCUGAACCAGCCAAGUCGCGUGAGGGAUGACGGUCCUAUGGAUUGUAAACCUCUUUUGUCAGGGAGCAAAGGGCGCCACGUGUGGCGCUUUGCGAGUACCUGAAGAAAAAGCAUCGGCUAACUCCGUGCCAGCAGCCGCGGUAAUACGGAGGAUGCGAGCGUUAUCCGGAUUUAUUGGGUUUAAAGGGUGCGCAGGCGGAAUGUCAAGUCAGCGGUAAAAUUUCGGGGCUCAACCCCGUCGUGCCGUUGAAACUGGCGUUCUUGAGUGAGCGAGAAGUAUGCGGAAUGCGUGGUGUAGCGGUGAAAUGCAUAGAUAUCACGCAGAACUCCGAUUGCGAAGGCAGCAUACCGGCGCCCAACUGACGCUCAUGCACGAAAGCGUGGGUAUCGAACAGGAUUAGAUACCCUAGUAGUC